rnacentral:rRNA from 1 species
CCUACGGGCGGCAGCAGUGAGGAAUAUUGGUCAAUGGCCGAGAGGCUGAACCAGCCAAGUCGCGUGAGGGAAGACGGCCCUACGGGUUGUAAACCUCUUUUGUCGGGGAGCAAAGCGAACCACGUGUGGUUCAUUGAGAGUACCCGAAGAAAAAGCAUCGGCUACCUCCGUGCCAGCAGCCGCGGUAAUACGGAGGAUGCGAGCGUUAUCCGGAUUUAUUGGGUUUAAAGGGUGCGCAGGCGGAGGUGCAAGUCAGCGGUCAAAUUGCGGGGCUCAACCCCGGACUGCCGUUGAAACUGCAUCCCUUGAGUGCGCGAGAAGUAUGCGGAAUGCGUGGUGUAGCGGUGAAAUGCAGAGAUAGCGAGAGGAACACUCGUGGCGAAGGCGGGUUCCUGGACAUUAACUGACGCUGAGGCACGAAGGCCAGGGGAGCGAAAGGGAUUAGAUACCCUGGUAGUC